rnacentral:rRNA from 1 species
GGCUCAGGAUGAACGCUAGCGGCAGGCUUAACACAUGCAAGUCGAGGGGUAGAGUUCUUCGGAAUUUGAGACCGGCGCACGGGUGCGUAACGCGUAUGCAAUCUGCCUUUUACAGAGGGAUAGCCCAGAGAAAUUUGGAUUAAUACCUCAUAGUAUAAUGAGUUGGCAUCAACACAUUAUUAAAGUCACAACGGUAAAAGAUGAGCAUGCGUCCCAUUAGCUGGUUGGUAAGGUAACGGCUUACCAAGGCUACGAUGGGUAGGGGUCCUGAGAGGGAGAUCCCCCACACUGGUACUGAGACACGGACCAGACUCCUACGGGAGGCAGCAGUGAGGAAUAUUGGACAAUGGGCGCAAGCCUGAUCCAGCCAUGCCGCGUGCAGGAUGACGGUCCUAUGGAUUGUAAACUGCUUUUGUACGAGAAGAAACACUCCUACGUGUAGGAGCUUGACGGUAUCGUAAGAAUAAGGAUCGGCUAACUCCGUGCCAGCAGCCGCGGUAAUACGGAGGAUCCAAGCGUUAUCCGGAAUCAUUGGGUUUAAAGGGUCCGUAGGCGGUUUAGUAAGUCAGUGGUGAAAGCCCAUCGCUCAACGGUGGAACGGCCAUUGAUACUGCUGAACUUGAAUUAUUAGGAAGUAACUAGAAUAUGUAGUGUAGCGGUGAAAUGCUUAGAGAUUACAUGGAAUACCAAUUGCGAAGGCAGGUUACUACUAAUGGAUUGACGCUGAUGGACGAAAGCGUGGGUAGCGAACAGGAUUAGAUACCCUGGUAGUCCACGCCGUAAACGAUGGAUACUAGCUGUUGGGAGCAAUCUCAGUGGCUAAGCGAAAGUGAU